rnacentral:rRNA from 1 species
CAGCAGCCGCGGUAAUUCGGAGGGUGCAAGCGUUAAUCGGAAUUACUGGGCGUAAAGCGCGCGUAGGUGGCUUGAUAAGCCGGUUGUGAAAGCCCCGGGCUCAACCUGGGAACGGCAUCCGGAACUGUCAGGCUAGAGUGCAGGAGAGGAAGGUAGAAUUCCCGGUGUAGCGGUGAAAUGCGUAGAGAUCGGGAGGAAUACCAGUGGCGAAGGCGGCCUUCUGGACUGACACUGACACUGAGGUGCGAAAGCGUGGGUAGCAAACAGGAUUAGAUACCCUGGUAGUCCACGCCGUAAACGAUGUCGACCAGCCGUUGGGUGCCUAGCGCACUUUGUGGCGAAGUUAACGCGAUAAGUCGACCGCCUGGGGAGUAGCGGCCGCAAGGUUAAAACUCAAAUGAAUUGACGGGGGCCCGCACAAGCGGUGGAGCAUGUGGUUUAAUUCGAUGCAACGCGAAGAACCCUUACCUACCCUUGACAUCUACAGAAGCCGGAAGAGAUUCCGGUGUGCUUCGGGAACUGUAAGACAGGUGCUGCAUGGCUGUCGUCAGCUCGUGUUGUGAAAUGUUGGGUUAAGUCCCGUAACGAGCGCAACCCUUGUCCUUAUUUGCCAGCACGUAAUGGUGGGAACUCUAAGGAGACUGCCGGUGACAAACCGGAGGAAGGUGGGGACGACGUCAAGUCAUCAUGGCUUACGGGUAGGGCUACACACGUGCUACAAUGGCCGGUACAAAGGGCGGCGAGCUCGCGAGAGUCAGCGAAAAACUUAAAGCCGGUCUCAGUCCGGAUCGGAGUCUGCAACUCGACACCGUGAAGUCGGAAACAGCUAGUAAUCGUGA